AAUACUUUAGUCUCUCUCUCUUCCUUCCUUGCCGUAUCCGGCAAUGGCGACCCCAUCAACAAUUCUUAUCCGGAUUAUGAAAUGCCCUUAUGUGGCUCGCAAAACCAAACUUUACAACGUAGGUGGAAGGUGUCCAGUUUUUUCAUGUCUGAUUUAUAGCUGCACCACGUUUCUGAGGCAUAAAGCAGAGUGGGUAUGAUGAUAGCUUUGUAAACCAUAAUUUUUGUGGACAGCUUCAAAUCGUGCGACCUCCACACACGGUUGCUGAGCUUGCCAAAUGCAGCAGCUGCAUUGGCUAUGCGUGAUGGUAUUUCAGACGCUAAGGUAUUGUCAUUGCGGAGUUGGCUUCCUAAGUACCUGAAACGUGGCACUUCUUCAAGAGCUUUGUUAUCCAGAUUGAUACUGGAGUAUUCCAUGUGACAACCCCUAGGUGGUUGUACAAGAAUUUUCGUUUUUGCCGCACUUAUCACCAAGCCAAACUUACAGCAUGACGCAUGGAGAGAGUCCACAUACGACUGGAGAGAUUCUGCUGAAUCAGCCAUAAGGCAAACGUCAUCCGCGUAAAGUAUGUCCAAUAUCGAGUGCUUCGUGACUUUACUUUUGGCCCUAAAGCGCGACAAAUCGAAAAUGGACUUAUCUGAU